ensembl:lncRNA
GGGGGAUCUGAAUAUUCGGAUCUCUAAAUAAAUACUCGGAUACCACCGUCACGACCGAAUAUUCGGAUGUUUGGGUCCAGCCCUAGUGGGUAUCUGGACAGAGCUGGUGUCUAAUGUAGCUCCAACGUCACUGUGGCGGCCAGAGGUCCUGAAACACUGAACUCUGGGUAAUAAAACCCGCCUCUGUGUAGCACGGAUGCCGCUACGAGGGAGACUCAUCCAUCUGUGAAAAGUUCAGACCUUUCUUUAGAAGUUUGAAAAGGAAGAGAGAGGAGGGAGGUUAGUUUUAUUUGCACCGUGGUGCUCAGUGCCUGCAGCAGCGAUUCAUCAAUGGGGAGAAAAAAAACACAUCUGGGUUUCACUUCUUAAGCUUUACUUCAAUGACUCUGUACAGAUUUUUGUAGGCAGAAGGAUUCCUGCUCCAUCUGUAGCCUCUGGAGAUCCCAGAAUUCCUGAAGGACCACCCUCCGAUCACCCGUUACUCUGACGUCAAAACGCCCUGAUUUAAAAAAGAUGCAGUGCACUGGAUUCUAAGCCAUUUAGAGGAGAGUUAAAGCGAGCGUCCUGGGAAACGUCGGUGGCUUGUUCCUGCAGAAACCAGAAGCUGAAUGUAAUUCAUCUCACAUCUUCUGCAUCCUUCCAAAGCCCCCGAAAUCCAGACUCUUUAAAACUCUGCAGACCUGAACAGGAAGCCGAUGUGUUGAUUCCAGACGGAGCUGGACCGGACUCUCCUUCAUAAACAUGGACCUGGAGAAUUUUUUUUAAAAAAGAAGAAAAUCUAAGAAUGUAUUCCUCUUGUUUCUGUUCAAAUCUGCAAAAUGUGCUUUUGUUUCCAGCCAGACUAAUCACCAAACCCCCCCCCAUCAUGUGGACUGUACAGUAACCGUCUUUAACCGUGUGAUAUGAGACCAGAAGGGGCUACUCACCAGAGAAAAAACAAAAAAACGAUCUCGUCGUCAAAAGGUGAGAAUCAGACAAUCACAGGAAAAUCUGCAGAAGAGCCAAUGCUUAGUUUGAAUUAGACCCUGUAGCUGUUCUGUUCAUCGCUCAGUCUGAAGUGUUUUACAAGCUGCUGUAGCAAAGAAACGUCAUUAAAGACCCAACGAGAGGUCGAAGACCGCCACCAAUGGGUUAAGCUACUGUGAUCUACCAGAGGUGGCGUCGCCCCAAUCACUGUGUCUUCACUGUUCCUCAGCCUGUUCUCAGAAAUCAUCAGUAGGGGUGUCUGAUGCCGAUAACCGACAUGCCGAUAUUGUCCAACUUUUAAUUACUGAUUCCGAUAUCAACCGAUACUGCUAUCUGUGGGCUAUUUAACUAAUUCUAGGUAACAUCACAUAUCUCCUGUGGUGGAAUUAGAAGAAUUAGUUAAAUAGCCCACAGAUAUCGGUAUCGGUUGAUAACAGAAUCAGAAAUGGAGAGUUGGACAAUAUCGGCAAAAUUCCCUUAUUUUUCCGUAUUUUCUGUUAGGUUUGAUUUUUUUUUGGCAUUAUCUGACGUGUGCAAUAUGUCCUAAGUCCAAAAAAAAAAAGAAAAAAAGGUGCAAUUUGUUUGGGGAGAUAAAAAGUAGCAUUUGUUUUGUAUUCAGUUGUAAAAUGUUCCGAAUCCAAACUAUAAUUCUGCAUGCAAACAGAAACGGUGAGAGAGUGACUGAACUCUGCAUUUUAACAGUUCUGUAUCCUGGAAAACAACAACAAAAACACUCAUUCAGUUCUGUCAUUAAUGGGAUUUUGUUCAUUUUUUUUCUUUUUAAAAAUAUCAGUCAAAAACAUUUGAAAAGCCAAAAAUCUUUUUCUUUACUCUUCAAAUGUCAAGAAAAGUGGUCUUUAUCAAAUAAGAAAAAAAAACAAAAAUCUGUAGUAUAUGUAAAAUAAAAACUUAUAGAAAACUGAAACCAG